UUUUUUUUUUUUUUUUUUUUUUUGGGUGGGUAAAUGUGCAAGGCACUAUGCUAGACGUUGAAGGGAAUUCGACUAUCAAAAAAAUAUAUCCUCUUUCUUCUGGUGGCCUAACAUUCUAGAGUAUCAAGCACACAGACGUGGAAAGUUAGGUAGUGAAAAGCAAUAGGAAGCUUUCUGAGACACCACGGAGCUGUGAUUAAUUUCAAAUUAGUGAUGCAAUGAGAAUUAUGAGUUUAUAAAAAGAGCGGGGACCCGGUACAUUUAAACUAGGCAUACUUUGUUAAAGUUAUUUAUUUCCUUUCCCUCCACUUCCUCUCUAAUUAUGAAAAAGAAGAAAAGGAAAAUGGGAUGUCAGUGUGGUUUAAUUGACCAAGGAGGCACUUCUCAGUUGCCCUGGAGAAGCAAACUUUGCUUUUAGUUUAAACCCCAUAACCGAUGUGCUCUCUCAUGCCCCAUUUUACAGAAAUGUCAGAAAAUUCAAUUUGGGAUUAAAGUCACCUAGAAUCAGAAGCAGAAUCAGAGAUGCUCACAGUUGAAAUAGAAUUCAGCUUUAUGGACAUAUCCAGUCCAACUAACCACUGUAUGUUGUGUCAUCCUGAGCUAUUCAUAACUCAAGUGCUAGAUCCUUAUCCUACAUAACUAUGCGAUAUCAAGUCAAUAAAAUAAUGAAAAUUCUAUACUGAUAAUCCCUAGGCACAAAUCAGAUUUUUAGACCCAAUGUUCCCAAUGGGGGAAAAAUUGUCUAUCUUGUUUACUUGUUCAGAUGAAUUGUUAUUCCUACAUUCCAAGACUCAUGAGUAUUCAAAUUAUCUGCCUCCCUUGAAGUGCCCAGCAGUACCCUGGGGUCUAGGGACAGACAGGAGACCUAUCCCAGGAGGCUUAAUGGAGGGCCUUGGGAAGCAUCCAUUUUUGUAACCACUUUCCUUCAUCUCCUCCUGGGGCUCACUGCCUGCUUCCUUUCUAUGUAGAAUCUAAACCCUGCUAUCUCUAACAUGUAAUCCCACCCCUUCACACCAAGUCAAACUUCUUGGAUACUGUCUGAAUGCACAACCCAGAGGGCCUCCUA
rnacentral:lncRNA from 1 species